GACAACGUGCCAGAGUGGUUAAUGGGUAUGACUCGAAUGCCAAGGCUACUAGAUAUCAUAUGGCUUCGGCCGCACAGGUUCGAAUCCUGUCGUUGUCG